rnacentral:lncRNA from 1 species
AAAGCUGUAGUUUGCAGAUUUUUGAUUCUGUAGCUCUCGAAAAUCUCUCACAAUGCACUUUACUCAUUUUAACGCCUUCGGUAUUUCCAAAGCAUACCAACCUCGCACUUUGGUCAAUUUGACUAAAGUUUGAUAUUCGUUCACCGAAGUUUCGGUAUAUUACAUUCUCCACCCCUUAAAAUAAUUUCGUCCGCGAAAUUACACAUACCUUAACUCGUCGACUCAAAUAGAUGCGGAUACUCUCUCCGCAUGGUCUCCUC